CCCUUAGAUGUCCGGGGCUGCACGCGCGCUACACUGAAGGAAUCAGCGUGCUAGAAAACCUUGUUUGACAUGGCUAGGUAACCCGUUGAAAAUCUUUCGUGAUUGGGAUCGGGACUUGCAAAUGUGUCCCUUGAACGAGGAAUUCCCAGUAAGUGCGGGUCAUAAGCUCGCGCUGAUUACGUCCCUGCCCUUUGUACACACCGCCCGUCGCUGCCCGGAACUGAGCCGUUUCGAGAAGACUGGGGACUGAGAACUUUGGGCUGGAAAACAGCUUUUUGUUUGUGGAAACCACUUUAAUCGCAGCGGCUUGAACCGGGCAAAAGUCGUAACA
rnacentral:rRNA from 1 species